rnacentral:snoRNA from 2 species
GGGGUGUGCUCAGAGCAGGGGGCCUGAAGAGAUGGCGCCUCUGUUCACAACACACCCGACAGGAAUCUGGGCUCGCUGUGACAAGGGGCCGCAAACUGGGGGCCUUCCUAUGAACACAUAUGCUACACGU